CUGGCAGUCCAGAUUGAACGCAGUGCAUGGCUCCUUUGUCUUUUUAAUUGAUUACGUGUUGUUUUUCCCUACAAGGAUGAUUCUCCGCUGAUACAGAGGGUAGACUGGAGAGUCUUCCCUUUCAGGAAGGAAUGAGGAGGACAAGAAAAGGGUAUACAUCUUAUUAUUUAUUUAUGUUUAAUUGUGUAUUAAACAAAACAUUUGAGAGAUACUUGAGGUAUCUAAUGCUCUGAGAAGCUUAUGUCAUGUCCUCUGAAUAUGGACAAACAAGCUCACAAUAAAAUGAUGCCAAGCCCAAAUCAACCCCUGGAUGCUCAGAAAAUUUGAACAAGCCUUCUCUGUCACUAAUACCACAUUGAUACGCGUGAUCUGCCAUUGCAUAAAGAUAAAAAGCUAAGUAUGGAGUGGUCUUUGUUCUUCUUUCACAUGCACUAAUGCAUUGGGUGCUGACCUUUGGUAGAAAUCCACAAGCACAGUUAGACUUAAUCACUUCAAAAGAGGUAGUGGUUCAGAUUUAAUGAGCUGCGGAGUGCUCUGCUUUAGUGGAGUAAACACUAUGGUGUAAGUCUUGUUGUGUACCAGCUGAGGGCUUGGCUGCUUCAUUACUCUGAGGCUGAUUCUGUCUGCAGAAGAAGGGGAAACCUCGCAAGUCAGGAUUUGUUCUUUGAAACUCUCUGCCCAUCUCAGGUCUACCAAGUCAGUGUUCAUAUGUAACGUAUUCUGAGGCUCUUUUUUGACCCUCCUACUGACAAGACCAUAGGAAUACCAGAUUUACCAUGCUGUUUUGCCUACCACAGCUGUAAGAUCAAGCAAGAAAUACUACAAGUGUGAAAACAAGCAACACACGGCUGGUGCUCUGCCAGAGAAACCUGCAGAGCUCUGUCAUUUGCGGAGAGGCUUCUCCUGCCCUCUGUUAUCCUGAUGUCUCUUCUCAUCUGCAUCGUACUGUGGUUGGUCACUCAUCCCAUGGCAUUUCUUCUGGGGAUUUGAGUGGGCUCCGCCCAGCUGUUAGAUGAGCUGGUUCUUAC
rnacentral:lncRNA from 1 species